UGUUCACCAGUCAGGAAGUGCCAGUUUCCCGUGGAUUGUCAGUGUGUUAAACACACACCGGAUGUGUUGAGGUCAGAAGUACUGCGGCCUUAAACCUGCAGCCCUCGUUGAGGGAAAAGACGCUGUUACUGUGAGGACCAGUUAAAAGUGGGAACUAAGCGUGUGGAGUCAACGUCACAGUUAAAACCACUGCCUGCUGUCCUUGUUUUUGGUAGUUUUAUUUGUGUCUGUCUUACGUCAUACAGCUGCUGGACUUGGGCCACGCGUGAUGACGUUUCACGAGUCCACAAAUCCGCACAAGUCUACAGAUUGAGGAACGUAAUGUACGUCAUCAGUGUCCAUCCAAUAAAUGCAGGAACUGCCGUGAAUCGGCCCCGCCCCCAAACAGAAACCGCCAUCAUAAAACACAAAGAUCUGGUUUAAAGGAGCUCCGCGCGGUUAGCAGGUAAAAACACACACCUGUUCACACCUGACCCGGACUACUGACCCGGAAUAACCCGGAUUAACGUGGUUUAAUCCUUUUAGAUCGAGUCCGGGCUUUUCCGCCUUUUUCCUCUUCAUUUUUCCCGCUGAACGCCUCUGACGUCACAUAC
rnacentral:lncRNA from 1 species